rnacentral:miRNA from 1 species
UCUAUGUACUCUGCAGUGGCA